UACGAAGGGAGCUAGCGUUGUUCGGAAUCACUGGGCGUAAAGCGCACGUAGGCGGACUUGUCAGUCAGGGGUGAAAUCCCGGGGCUCAACCUCGGAACUGCCUCUGAUACAGCAAGUCUUGAGUCCGGAAGAGGUGGGUGGAAUUCCUAGUGUAGCGGUGAAAUGCGUAGAUAUCGAGAGGAACACCUGCGGCGAAGGCGGGUUGCUGGGCCGAUACUGACGCUGAGGAGCGAAAGCGUGGGGAGCGAACAGG
rnacentral:rRNA from 1 species